rnacentral:misc_RNA from 1 species
GAUGAAGAAUGCAGUGAAAUGCGAUACGUGAUGUGAAUUGCAGAAUUCAGUGAAUCAUCGAAUCUUUGAACGCACAUUGCGCCCGCCAGCACUCUGGCGGGCAUGCCUGUUCGAGCGUCAUUUCAACCAUCAAGCCCCAGGCUUGCGUUGGAGCCCUGCGGCUGCCGCAGCCUCCUAAAAGCAGUGGCGGGCUCGCUAUCACACCGAGUGCAGUAGAUUACUCUUCGCUCAGGGCGUGCAGCGGGUUCCGGCCGUGAAACCCCCUACUUUUAAAGGUUGACCUCGGAUCAGGUAGGAAUACCCGCUGAACUUAAGCAUAUCAAUAAGCGGAGGA